rnacentral:lncRNA from 1 species
AAUUAUUGGGAAAAAAAGUUCUAAUAUUGUUUGACUUUUGAUUAUGUAUUUUAUGAUUAGUGAAGUUGAUCCUUUGGAAUGCUUAAUUUAGAAGAUGUAGCUUUUGUCAGUUUAUGAUUAUACAAAAAACUGGGAGCAAGAAUUCGUUUGCCUUAAUUCGUUUGACUUAUGGGAUGAUAAGGGAGUUUAUUAUUAUAAGGAGCAUGAGGUGGGAUUAUUAGAAAGGAAAUAAAAGACACUAAGUGAUGGAUUAGCA